ACUCCCGUGAGAAUGCCCUGCCUUCACCACACAACUGGAGAAUAGGAGCCGGUAUCAGGCACAAUAACUUUAGCCCAUGACACCUUGCUUAGCCACCCCCCCACGGGCACUCAGCAGUAAUAAACAUUAAGCUAUGAGUGAAAACUCGACUUAGUUAAUAUCAAGAGGGCCGGUUAAACUCGUGCCAGCCACCGCGGUUAUACGAGAGGCCCAAGUUGACAAAAACCGGCGUAAAAAGUGGUUAAUAAUUUUUAAACUAAAGCCGAACACCUUCGAUACUGUCAUACGUGACCGAAGGCAGGAAGACCUCCAACGAAAGUGACUUUAACCCAAUAUGAACCCACGAAAGCUAGGAUACAAACUGGGAUUAGAUACCCCACUAUGCCUUGCCCUAAACAAAAAUGUAUCAACACACCAACCAUUCGCCAGGGAACAACGAGCCCCAGCUUAAAACCCAAAGGACUUGGCGGUGCUUUAGACCCCCCUAGAGGAGCCUGUCCUAGAACCGAUACUCCCCGUUCAACCUCACCCUCCCUUGUUUUCCCCGCCUAUAUACCGCCGUCGUCAGCUUACCCUGUGAAGGAUUAAUAGUAAGCAAAAUUGGCAAGACCCAAAACGUCAGGUCGAGGUGUAGCGUACGAGAGGGGAAGAGAUGGGCUACAUUUACUGAGCCAGUAAACACGGAUGUUGCACUGAAAUGAGCAUCUAAAGGAGGAUUUAGCAGUAAGAGGGGAGUAGAGCGCCCCCCUGAAAAUGGCCCUGAAGCGCGCACACACCGCCCGUCACUCUCCCCGAAAAACACAACUGAUAAAUAAUGCUAGAUAAUAACACGAGGGGAGGCAAGUCGUAACAUGGUAAGUGUACCGGAAGGUGUACUUGGAAAAACC
rnacentral:ncRNA from 1 species